rnacentral:lncRNA from 1 species
GUGGUUGCUGGUGUCACUAGCAAGAAAUAAGAGUUAUUUUAUUUUAUUUCUUUUCUUUUGUUUGUGUGCGUUGGACUUGUGAUGGUUUUACACCUAGGUGAUAAGGCUCCUAGACUAUUGCCACGUGCAUUCGAUAUUUUUCAGAAGUUCAAAAGCCAGCACGAGUCCUCAUGUUUGUCAAAGUAAUGGUGGCAGCUGUUUUUUUCCCGCUGCGGUCUGGGAAAAUUACAGAAAAAAUGAUGAACAUCAAUUGUCCUCUGAAUACUGUGGUGUUUUGUCCGUUUAAGGUAAUUUGAGAAAACGGUCGGCAGUGUGAUAGAUAGGUGGAAGAGAUGCUUUUGUCCGCUUUGAAGUUUGAAUCGUUGAAAAGUAUAUGUUGGUGUUGGUCCUGUUCUACCUUUAGACCUGAUUGUUUGAAAACCCAGUCUCUAACAUUGCAUCUCAAUCAGUCCUGGAUUCUGCAUUUCUUGAAAACUUUGGGCUUUGACUGCUCUAUCUGCUGUAUAAAAGCUGAUCAGCUUUAAAU